AAUUAAAUCAAUCAAGAAAAUAUAAAUAUUUAAUAUAAAACUAUUUAUUUUGGCGGCAUUUCAUCUAAUCAGAGGAAUUUGUUUCCUAAUAGAUAAUACCCUAUAAUUUUCACUUUAUUUAAAAAUUUAUAUAUCUCCAUCAUAAGAAUUUAUUAAACAAAUAUAUUCAAAAUAAAAAUUAAAAAGUUAGGUCAAGGUGUAGUUUACAUUAAAGUUUUUAAUGAAUUACUUUAAAAAAAAUUUAAGAAUUUAAUAAUACUAAUUUUAUAUGAAAAAGGAUUUGAAAAUAAUAAUAAAACAAUAUUUUAUUAUGAAUAAGAAAAUAAAUGUGU
rnacentral:rRNA from 1 species